rnacentral:rRNA from 1 species
UACGAAGGGGGCUAGCGUUGCUCGGAAUCACUGGGCGUAAAGGGCGCGUAGGCGGCCAUUCAAGUCGGAGGUGAAAGCCCAGGGCUCAACCCUGGAAUUGCCUUCGAUACUGUUUGGCUAGAGACCGGAAGAGGUAAGUGGAACUGCGAGUGUAGAGGUGAAAUUCGUAGAUAUUAGCUAGAACACCAGUGGCGAAGGCGGCCAACUGGUCCGGUACUGACGCUGAGGUGCGAAAGCGUGGGGAGCAAACAGG